rnacentral:rRNA from 1 species
AGCAGCCGCGGUAAUUCCAGCUCCAAUAGCGUAUAUUAAAGUUGUUGCAGUUAAAAAGCUCGUAGUUGAAUUUCGGGAUCAAUAUAUCGGUCGUGCCAUUGGUACGUACUGGUAUCAUUGGUUUCUCCUUUCUGACGAACCAUGAUGUCAUUAAUUUGGUGUUAUGGGAAGUUAGGACUGUUACUUUGAAAAAAUUAGAGUGUUUAAAGCAGGCUUUAGCUUGAAUACAUUAGCAUGGAUAAUGAAAUAGGACGUUUGAUUCUAUUUUGUUGGUUUCUAGGAUCGACGUAAUGAUUAAUAGGGAUAGUGGGGCAUUAGUAUUCAAUUGUCAGAGGUGAAAUUCUUGGAUUUAUUGAAGACUAACUACUGCGAAAGCA